GUGUAUAAUGGCAGUCAUCGAGGGGUUAAGCGGUUUAUUAAUAGUAUUCUGUGUAUAAUGGCAGUCAGCGAGGGGUUAAGCGGUUUAUUGAUGGUUUUCUUGCUUAGAAGAAGAUGGUCAGAGAUGAUGAUCUGUCAGCAUUAUCGACUUACUGACUGGCUGCUUUUAAAGGCUCCCAGGAGAAUGGGGAAUUAACCCCUGGCUGGCCAGAAGGUUCACACCGAGCAAGCGGACAACUUACUCUUCU